rnacentral:misc_RNA from 1 species
AAAAAAAAAUAAAUAAAUAAAAAGCAGAGCAAAAAAUAGAAGCAUAAAUUUAAAUUUAGUAACAUGUCAGACUCUAAAUAGCCAAAUUUUCAUAAUGAACAUGGCAACAAUUCUAGUGGCCUUUAUAAAACUCUCCAAUAUUAUUUGUUCCCAUACUUUUCAAGCUCCAGAAAUGGUGGUCCUGAAACUCAAAGAACAAGAAACAGGGAACCAUCUUAAUUGCUACCCCUAUUCACUUUGUAACACUACAGAUUGCUCCAUCUCUAGACCUAUGAAAAACCAGGAAGGCAAUAUCCAUAUCUUCUCUUUAGGAUCAGUGAAACAUAAAAAUAAUUACGGUGAAACAGAACUAACCCAGAAAUCUCAUGGCAAGAGAAAAAUUAUUUUCCUACCCACAGCCCAUGAUCAAAAGUGAAUCUAUAUACAGCACAUGGUCCACAUCACAUACAUUUAAUAGCACCGCCCUGGCUUAAAAAAUCUAAUUUUAAAUUAAACUAACAUUAUUUAGUUCAGUAAUCCUAGCUGUAGUGCUACCAUAAGACAGUUAUAUAUGGAUGGAAUUUUAGAAACCCUAAUUUUAUGAAAAUGCAAAUAGAGAAGGGAUAUCUAAUAUUUUUAAGCAUAAAAGAGGAAAAGAAAAAGAAAAUAAAAAGGAAAAGCUCUCAUGAAAUAACAGAGAAUCGAAUCAGAGCGAAAGGUCCACCUUUUUCCAGGAGAAUCCGCCUGCGAAAUAAGCAAAUUGCAUGGAUAAGAUCUCUAAGUUCUAAAAAUCAAACGCAAAAGGGAAUAAUCAUUAACAUGGAAUAGUAAGAGAAAGAAAGGAUCUCACC